ensembl:lncRNA
UGAAUGUUUUAGUUACGUUCCAAGUCCCUGAGCUCUCAAUGGGAAAAAGAGAAUUUUACUGGAACUAUUAAGUUAUUCCAUGGAGAAUAUGCAGAGGAUAUUGUAGUACAACCCUCACUCUUUUAGCUGUGUUUUAAAUACGCUCAGUGGCUAGCCCCCAAGGUGAUAGAACUGCUGUACUAGGAAACUCUUAAGAAAAUCCCCUGUGGGUAUUUGGGUGCUAUUUAUCAAGGUGAAGAUGCAUUGUGGAACAUGCUGGAAUGCUUGUUAUGCACCUGUUAGCACUUUUUGUCUGGUACUUAUUUUGUAGUCUGGUAGUACUUUACUGAAAGCACUACUUUCCUAGUUAUUUUGAUGAACAUCCCAGUAAUUUAUUACUCAAACAUUAUCAAAGCAUUCCACGAUCGUUUCAUUGCUGUUCUUUCCCUUCUGCCUACCAGUGCCCUUUUUUUCCCAUUUGUUCCAUUAUUAACAGUACUGUUAUUAGCAAGCUCUGUUCUUUGUUAGGCUGACGUGGCUUUAAAGCAAGAAAGCAUAAAAAGUAAGUAUCAGAUAGCAUUCACUCAAAUGCAUUUAUUUUCCAGCCAAUUUACUAGGAUGUUUUUGCUCAUUUUGCUUAUUUGGUAUUGCUACAUCUGAUUUUUAUUGAAGUCUAUUUAUGUAACACUGAGAGAUGCAUAGUGAUAUUUAAGUUUGUAUUGUAUAUUUGGUACUUUACUCACUUUUAUAAAAUAAAUUACUUAAAGAAUCUGCUGUCUGUCGUUUGUCCUCCAGAAUGUGUUAGCUGUUAUCAUCAGUUCUUCAUUGCUGCAGUGAGUGGAAGAAGAAGAACUAAGAGAAGUGUACUUUUCACAGUAUUCAGACUUCGGGCAGGAUUCUCCUACCUCAAAGGAAGUCCGCAGUCCAAGCUAACGCAGAUUCAGGCUUCAGAGCAAGACAAGAACCAGUCCUGCAAAUUACAUUUGGUGCUCUGAAGAGUGCCAUUGUGGAGUACAGCAGUCUGAUUUGAAGUGCACAUGACCACAAUGCUGAGAUGCACUGCAGUGUUCUGUGUUACUUGGAGUGUCCUUAACGCCAAAGGCUGUGUGCCUAGUUACUCUGCAUUACUAGAUGCCAGCCAGGAGGUGACACAAGUGUGAAGAACUGCAGCCAGGUCAUUCCCUCCCAGGACUGAAUGAAGUCUUCUAGCCAAAAAGAGUUGACAGAAAGCACUAUUCACAAAUUCUCCAGUUGAGAGUCAGCAAGGCAUCGAGGAGCUAUGAAAUCUGAUUUCUCAGCCUAGAACAUUCUUUCUUUGGCUUCAGAAGUUUAACCAAAAGUAAGUAUAUCGGCAACUGGAUGAAAGAACACUUGAGGAAAACCAGAACUAUUCCUGAACAUUUCUUAACAAUUCACUGUAAUGUAGGUUACAUUUACCUAGCAAGACCAAGGUGAGUUUCCCUUGAAUCUAGAUUUCCUUAAACUGAUCCUUUUUUUUUUUUUUUUCUGGUUCUCUCAGAGCUUAAGGUUACCUAGAUUUUCACUCUCUUUGUCUUUUUAUAAAAAAGGGCAAAAUGCAUGGCAUUAGCAACCUUGCCAAAAAGAGAUGCAAUCCUCAGGGAGCUUUUUCCAGGAGUAUACAAACACAAGGAGACUUCACUCAAAAAUAGGCAUCUUCUGGGG